CCUACGGGUGGCUGCAGUGGGGAAUAUUGCACAAUGGGCGAAACCCUGAUGCAGCGACGCCGCGUGAGCGAUGAAGUAUUUCUGUAUUUAAAGCUCCAUCUGCAGGGAAGUAAAUGACGGUACCUGACUAAGAUGCCCUGUCUAACUACGUGCCAGCAGCCGUGGCAAUACGCCGGGGGCCAGCGUAAUACGGAAUGACUGGGCGUAAUGGGGGCGUAGGUGGUUUAGUAAGUUGGCGGUGUAAUUCUGUGGCUCAACCUCAGAGUUGCCGCCAAAACUGUUAGACUAGAGUGGAGGAGGGGUACGUGGAAUGCGUGGUGUAGCGGUGGAAUGCGUAGAUAUCAGGCAGAACAUCAAGUGCGAAGGCAACUUACUGGACUGUAACUGACACUGAGGCACGAAAGCGUGGGGAGCAAACAGGAUUAGAUACCCUGGUAGUC
rnacentral:rRNA from 1 species